rnacentral:misc_RNA from 1 species
GUUGAGUCCCUGGAACAUAAUCCAAGCCAGUAAAUAACACAACUAGGACUUCAGAAUACAAAGCAACAUACCAUUUCAGAGCUACCAGUAUCAUAUAUCACUGGGAAGAUGCACAUGCAUACAUUUUUGCCAAAGUAUUCUUACAAUCCAUCUUGCAUAAAGUCCUUUGAUCUAGGAGAUACAGUCUAAGACAUACCAGACACGUAUCAUAAAUCAGCUAAUUUGCCAUGAUGAAUUAAAAAUAUUCCUAAAUGGAGUUUCAAUAGGAGAAUGAGUCCUGAAACCAUCAACUAGCUUGUUUCUUCAUGCAACCAUACAU